rnacentral:rRNA from 1 species
GAUGAACGCUGACAGAAUGCUUAACACAUGCAAGUCAACUUGAACUUCGGUUUGGGUGGCGGACGGGUGAGUAACGCGUAAAGAACUUGCCUCACAGAUAGGGACAACAUUUGGAAACGAAUGCUAAUACCUGAUAUUAUGAUUAUAUGGCAUCGUAUAAUUAUGAAAGCUAUAUGCGCUGUGAGAGAGCUUUGCGUCCCAUUAGCUAGUUGGAGAGGUAACGGCUCACCAAGGCGAUGAUGGGUAGCCGGCCUGAGAGGGUGAUCGGCCACAAGGGGACUGAGACACGGCCCUUACUCCUACGGGAGGCAGCAGUGGGGAAUAUUGGACAAUGGACCAAGAGUCUGAUCCAGCAAUUCUGUGUGCACGAUGAAGUUUUUCGGAAUGUAAAGUGCUUUCAGUUGGGAAGAAAAAAUGACGGUACCAACAGAAGAAGUGACGGCUAAAUACGUG